UACGGAGGGUGCAAGCGUUAUCCGGAAUCACUGGGUUUAAAGGGUGCGUAGGCGGCCCGAUAAGUCAGUCGUGAAAUCGCUGGGCUCAACCCAUGCAAUUGCGAUUGAUACUGUUGGACUUGAAUCAGGUUGAGGCUGGCGGAAUGCGACAUGUAGCGGUGAAAUGCUUAGAUAUGUCGCAGAACACCGAUUGCGAAGGCAGCCAGCUGGGCCUGUAUUGACGCUGAGGCACGAAAGCGUGGGGAGCAAACAGG
rnacentral:rRNA from 1 species